UACGGAGGGUGCAAGCGUUGUUCGGAAUCACUGGGCGUAAAGCGCGUGUAGGCGGCCAUCUAAGUCUGGUGUGAAAGCCCUGGGCUCAACUCAGGAAGUGCACUGGAUACUGGAUGGCUGGAGUACCGGAGAGGAGGGUGGAAUUCCUGGUGUAGCGGUGAAAUGCGUAGAUAUCAGGAGGAACACCGGUGGCGAAGGCGUCCCUCUGGCCGGAUACUGACGCUGAGACGAGAAAGCGUGGGGAGCAAACAGG
rnacentral:rRNA from 1 species